rnacentral:lncRNA from 1 species
UUGAUAUUGGCAACUAAGUAACUAUUGUUAAACUGACAUUCUUGCUGCACAACAAACAAUUUUUUUGUAGUAAUGGUGGGAAUAGGUUCCACGAGGAGGACAUGAUCAUUUAUGUUAUUGUAUUGAUCAUUAAGAUCACGUAAAAACUGCAUUGCAUGAUCCUUUUUUCUGUGAGUUAUAACAGAGGAAACAUUGCAGGAACACUUAUUUUGGCAAGAGCAUGCAAGAUCAGGUCUAAAAU